rnacentral:rRNA from 1 species
AACGAACGCUGGCGGCAUGCCUAACACAUGCAAGUCGAACGAAGGCUUCGGCCUUAGUGGCGCACGGGUGCGUAACGCGUGGGAAUCUGCCCUUAGGUUCGGAAUAACAGUUAGAAAUGACUGCUAAUACCGGAUGAUGACGUAAGUCCAAAGAUUUAUCGCCUGAGGAUGAGCCCGCGUAGGAUUAGCUAGUUGGUGUGGUAAAGGCGCACCAAGGCGACGAUCCUUAGCUGGUCUGAGAGGAUGAUCAGCCACACUGGGACUGAGACACGGCCCAGACUCCUACGGGAGGCAGCAGUGGGGAAUAUUGGAAAAUGGGCGCAAGCCUGAUCCAGCAAUGCCGCGUGAGUGGUGAAGGCCUUAGGGUUGUAAAGCUCUUUUACCCGUGAUGAUAAUGACAGUAGCGGGAGAAUAAGCCCCGGCUAAAUCAGU